rnacentral:rRNA from 1 species
GUGUGGUUGUUGCUGGCCCUCUCGGGGGCAUGUGCACACCCACCAUCCUCAUCUCUCCACCUGUGCACCUCUUGUAGACCUGGAUUGACUUUCCGAGGCAACUCGGUCGGGAAGAUUGCUGCGMUCUGUGAGCCAGCUUUCUUUGCAUGUCCAGGCCUAUGUUUUUCAUAUACCCCUAUAGAAUGUAACAGAAUGUAUCAUUGGGCCUUGUGCCUAUAAACCUUAUACAACUUUCAGCAACGGAUCUCUUGGCUCUCGCAUCGAUGAAGAACGCAGCGAAAUGCGAUAAGUAAUGUGAAUUGCAGAAUUCAGUGAAUCAUCGAAUCUUUGAACGCACCUUGCGCUCCUUGGUAUUCCGAGGAGCAUGCCUGUUUGAGUGUCAUUAAAUUCUCAACCUUAUUAACUUUUGUUGAUAAUGGAUUGGAUUGUGGGGGUUUCUUUUGCUGGCUUCUUCACAGAGAUCAGCUCCCCUUAAAUGCAUUAGCUGGUGCCCCGCGUGGACCAUCUAUUGGUGUGAUAAUUAUCUACGCCGUGGAUGUCUGCAAUYAUAUGGGUUUCGCACUGCUUCUAACCGUCUGUUCAUUCGGACAAUACAUGACAAUUUGACCUCAAAUCAGGUAGGACUACCCGCUGAACUUAAGCAUAUCAAUAAGCGGAGGAAAAGAAACUAACAAGGAUUCCCCUAGUAACUGCGAGUGAAGCGGGAAAAGCUCAAAUUUAAAAUCUGGCGGUCUCCGGCCGUCCGAGUUGUAAUCUAGAGAAGUGUUAUCCGCGCUGGACCGUG